rnacentral:lncRNA from 1 species
CUUUUUGUUCUUGGAGAUAAUUGUAUUUUGAUUGAGUUAUUGAUAUAAGGAAAGGGAAAGUAAGUAAGGUAAACAAAAAAUACUUCUUUUUCUUCGAACCCACCCAAUAAAAAAUCCUCCUUUUCUCAAUGGAGAAUCGAAAAAAUAAUAUUUUCAUACAAUAUCUUAAUUGAAUUAUAUGUAAUGAUCAAUAAAUUAAGUUGAAUUCUAUAUCUACACAUACCAAAAACAUAGAAAAAUCCGAAUACCAAUCUAAUCGAUUCUAUAGAUAUUUGGGCUAGAGUUGAUAAAAACAUUUCAAAAUCCUAGUACCAAUCUAAUCUAUUCUAUAGAUAUUUGGACUAGAGUUGACAAACAAACAAAAUAAGCAAU